UACGUAGGGCGCAAGCGUUGUCCGGAAUUAUUGGGCGUAAAGAGCUCGUAGGCGGUUUGUCGCGUCUGCUGUGAAAACUGGGGGGCUCAACCCCCCAGCCUGCAGUGGGUACGGGCAAACUAGAGUGCGGUAGGGGAGAUUGGAAUUCCUGGUGUAGCGGUGGAAUGCGCAGAUAUCAGGAGGAACACCGAUGGCGAAGGCAGAUCUCUGGGCCGUAACUGACGCUGAGGAGCGAAAGCGUGGGGAGCGAACAGG
rnacentral:rRNA from 1 species